rnacentral:antisense_RNA from 1 species
GUUGACUUUAUGCAUUUAUUCAACCAUUACUAUCAGGAGGAAGUUGUGCCCAGUCCUUGGGCCCAUAAAGUUCAGUUUGUCAAUGAGGUUGGCUCUUCAAGGACACACAACAGACAAGAUCUCAGGGAGACUGAUUGAACUGCCCAGGGGUUGGUAUCUGCCCCCACCCCUGCCCCGUUCGGGUUCUGUUCUAUGCUGUGGCCCUGCUCUUAAUCACUAAGAAAGGGAGACUGGAGCCAUCAAAGAGAGACUUCCCAAAGCCCCUGCUCACUCACGCACUCUGGAAGCCUGCCUGAGAUGCUUGCUGCUGUUCUCACAUGUCUCUGCCAGGUGACUACAGGCACUGACUGUUCAUGUGUCUGUGUCUCCCCCACGUGACUUCAGUUUCUGCUCUGUCAUCCAUGCGUCUGGGCACAGGUGCUGACUCCAAGAUCCUCCUGCGGUUUCAGUGUGUUCCUCCCAGGCACUCCCCAUCCACAGCCAUUCUUGCCUCAAGAUCCAUAACCGGUAGCCCUGGAGUCUCCACUUCUCGCAUCCUUAAAUUCAGGAUCCUCUUCAUUGAAAGACUCCCAAGGGUCGGGUGUGGUAGUAUAGGCCUAUAAUCCCAGCACUCAGGGCAGACACAGGUGGAUCUCUGUGGUCUAUGUAUGGAGCUCUAGGCUAGGCAGGACUACAUAGUGAAAGCCUCAGGACUCCUCCUGGUGGCUGCAGUGGCCUUCCUCAGCGUCCUGGUUUUGAUGUCUGUCAGGUGGGAGUGUGAUUUUAGGCCAGGGGACUUGUGAAGACAUCAGCGCCACUUCCUAGACCUGUGGGAUCACAUCUUGGGACACUCGGUCUGAUAGCCGUUAGAACUCUUCCCAGGCAUAGCCUUCAGCAGCGGGGAGCGAGCCAAACAGCUAAGGCGCUUCUCCAUCACCACGCUGCGGGACUUCGGCGUGGGGAAGCGUGGCAUCGAGGAGCGCAUCCAAGAGGAGGCGGGCUUUCUCAUCGAUUCAUUUCGGAAGACGAACGGUAAGCAGAGCACCGCAAGUUCUCAGGACCUUAGCCGAACAGUCUCCAAUGUCAUUAGCUCAAUCGUCUUCGGGGACCGCUUUGACUA